rnacentral:rRNA from 1 species
UACUGAGGGUGCGAGCGUUAAUCGGAAUUACUGGGCGUAAAGCGAGUGUAGGCGGUUACCUAAGUCGGAUGUGAAAUCCCCGGGCUUAACCUGGGAAUUGCAUUCGAUACUGGGUAACUAGAGUUUGGUAGAGGUAAGUGGAAUUCCGGGUGUAGCGGUGAAAUGCGUAGAUAUCCGGAGGAACAUCAGUGGCGAAGGCGGCUUACUGGACCAAAACUGACGCUGAGGCUCGAAAGCGUGGGUAGCAAACAGG